CAGGGAAGGCGUUUAAUCUGGGCCUGUCAAGAUUGUCAAUCAAUACUAUGCUAGCCCCUAGAUUGGCUUAAUCUUCAAUCUUCUUAAUAAAAAGAGGUCUCAUCCAUUUUCCUCUCUCCCUCUCUCUUUCUCUCUUCUUUCAGACUGUGGGAUUACCUCAGGUAAGUGAGUUGACUCUCUCUUCCCCUCUCAUGAUUAUGACUGUAGAGCUAGCUAGCUGUCCAAAGGUCCUUACCUGCUCUCCUUUUCUGUCAACAGCAUCCUAUCAACAAGGGGUCUUGUCUGCCACCAUCCUCUAUGAGAUCCUGCUAGGGAAAGCCACCCUGUAUGCUGUGCUUGUCAGUACACUGGUGGUGAUGGCUAUGGUCAAAAGAAAGAAUUCAUGAAGCCAGAUGUGAAGAUGAAUACAAGAGCUGACAACACAUUGUGUUAAUACAGAUUUUCUUCUCCCAGAACUUCUGAAGAGCUAUUCUCAUUUGUCUGUGCAUCCCAAAUUCUGCCUACUAGUCACGCAUAGGUGCAUUUGUAUGUCUGAAAUUCUUGUGACCUGGAAAAUGCCUACACUUACAAUCAAACCAAUAAACAUGUUCUAGGA
rnacentral:lncRNA from 1 species